GAGUAGACCUUUCCUGCCUUUUCCCACCAUCCUAAGGAGCAAGUAUCCUUGCAGAUCUCAGGAAAGAUAGUGGAAUUAUUUGCUGACCUGGUCUAUGCACCACCACCCAGUUCAGAGCAGCCCUGCAGUGCUGCCUCCCGCCAUUGGGUCAGCAGUGUGGUCAAGGCGUGAGCAAUGCCUAGCGCCCCUAAGCCUGUCUAGGGCCCUGCCACCUGGAGGUCUGCCGGAAGAGGGAAUGGUAGGUUGGAUGGGGGCUGCCCCUCCAGAAAGGGGCCACCAGGCACUGACCUCCUGGCCCCCACUUGGUGUGAGCCUGGGGCAGGGCUGGAAAUGCUCACCUGGGGGUUGGAAUUUGGAAUUCCUGGCCUUUUCCCUCCUGUUCUUCCUCCUGCAUGGGCUGCCCUGGGGGACUUGGCAUGGGCCUUUAGUGUUUGUUUUCUGGGCCCCCUCACAUGCCAGAGUUGCAAUGUUCCCCCCGCCCCCCCUUAUUUCCCUGCCAGCCCAGGAGCUCCCAUCUCACCUCCUACCUCCUUGGUCACUGACUCGCUGGCUGCGUUUGGAAAUCUGGACUUCAGCAUGAGACUUUGGCCUGGUUCUUUGCCUCCCACAGGUGGGGGACAUUGGCUGGGCUGAAGUAAUGUCCCAAGAGGAAGGUCUUCUAGCUCAGGGACUCCUGUGCCUCCAGUUCUGGGCCAGGUUACCCCUGGAGAAAUCAGGAAGUGAGGGAGGACCAGUAACAGAGUGUGAGGGCACUGGGCUUCUGGCCACCUGGCCCUAGCUUUUCCUGCUUCCCCUCUUGGUGUGUGGCCUCAGGCAAACCCUUCAGCAUCUCUGGGUCUCGUGUCUUCCCCAUCUUGGUUUCAUUCCAGCUCACGGUGGGGCCAUACUGGAGGAAACAGACCCCACCAACACCAGCGCCAUUUUCCUGGGCUCUGAGCUCCACAUGGAGUUUGCUGUGGUUGGCAGCUCCCGUUAGCCUUUACAGGUAUAUGUGGACGAGUGUGUGAUCAGCCCCAGCCAGGAUAUGGAAGUGGCCCCUGCACACUACAGCCUUGUCAGGAAUCAUGGGUACUGAACCUGGAGGAGGAGGAUAGGGUAGGAUGGGUACAAUUCAGUGGGUGAUAUCUCUGGGGAAGCUGGGACAGGGGCUGAGAGCCUUCCAGGGCUGGAAGGCAUGGAUGCCCAGAUAGUGCUCCCUGGGCGUUCUUGAGUAGUCCUUUCUAGGCCAGGGGAGCAAGAAUGCUUUACUGGCCCUUUCACCUCUGGAGCCUCUGUUUGCCCUUCUGUGAAAUGGGGAUAGUGCCAGAAUCUUCAAAGCCUGCUGUGUAGACUGAAUGGGGUGACGCUUAGCUCAGUGCUUGGCAUGCAGAAUUCUCAACAAAUGAUGGUGUAUGGUAGUGUUGGGGCUAGGACCAGAUCCCAGUUCAGGGGUCUGGCCCUGCUGACCUUCCAACCUGGGCCUUCCAGGUGCCUGGUGAACGGCAAGAACUUCCACUCCCACUUCGUGCCCCAAGAGGUCCCCAAGAGACUGGAGCUCUCCUUCCAGGCCUUCAGCUUUACUGGUACUCCUGCUGAUGUGAGUGGAAACAGAUAACCCCCUCCCCUCUCUGCCACCCCGUAGGAACAGAGACCCAAGCUGAGGAAUCUUUGGAAGUUAUGGGGUGCACCACAAACUGCUGCUCUGGAAUCUAAAGGUCCCAUCUGAUGCUACCAAGAAGGCCUGUUCCUUCCACAGGGGCACUCAUGGUAAGAACUUCUGGAUGCCUCCCUGGGAGUAUGUGUGACAGUUGUGAGAUUACCUGCCUGGCCCCCUGAUUACCCUAUCAAAGGUCCUUGGCAGAUUCCAAUCAGGCCUCUGAGAAGGCUUCCCAUCAGGACCCUGAGAAGGCUUCCAAUCAGGUGACAGAGAAGGCUGACUUGUCCUGUGAACUGAGUCAGGCUUCUGACUCUAGGGGGCCUGGAGACGAGCGAGGGAGCCCUCUCCUGUAGCCUGGGCUCUUCUCCAGGUCCCCUUCACACUGAGAGACACUGGAGCUCUGCAUCCAGUGGUCUUUGGCAGUCCCUGUAGAACCAGGCUCUGGCUUCCUCCUUCUCCCCUCCGCCUCCUCCCUGGGCCCCCAUUUGUGGCCUGCCAGGGCAGAGCUUGAAACCUCAGGCUAUCUGGCUGUAAGCUUGCUUACCUCGUGACCUUGGAAGCCACUUACGCCUUUGAGCCUCCUUAUCCAGAACAGUAACUGCUGCCCACUGCAUAUUGUUAAUACAUGCUGCCUUUGUUGCCUGCCUGCCAAAGGAGGGGCCAGGGCUUCCAUUUUUCUGUUUAAUCCUCCCAAGAAUCCUCCCAAUAAUCCCAUGCAGUAGACACAAUCAGGUCCCAUUCUAUAGAUGGGGAAACUGAGGCUUGAGGUCACAUAGGCACCGUUCGAGGCUGGUAUCCCUGCACCCUCUCCCAUGUGAACAACAUGGUUCUGGGUAAUGGGGGCUGUCAUCCAGUCUCCUCCCUGCCCCUGCUGGUGCACUUCCUGCCUCUGCUGGUGCACUUUCUGCCCCUACUGGUAUAUUUGCUGCCUCUGCUGGGGCGCUUCCUGCCUCGGCUGGUGUAUCUCCUGCCCCUGCUGGUGCACUUUCUGCCCCCGCUGAUGCACUUCCUGCCUCUGCUGGUGCACUUCCUGGCUCUGCUGGCGCACUUCCUGCCUCUGUUGGUGCACUUCCUGGCUCUGCUGGCGCAGUUCUUGCCUCUGCUGGUGUAUUUCCUGCCCCUGCUGGUGUACUUCCUUCCCCUGCUGGUGGACUUCCUGCCUCUGCUGGCGCACUUCUUGCCUCUCCAGGCCCUACCUAGCCUCUCCCUCUUAUAUAUGGAAGUCUUCCCAGUUCACUGACACUGGUAACAGGGACUCUGCUCUUGGUGUUGCUGUCUGCCCUGGGGAUGGGCAUCUGUGUCUUCCUUUACUACUGCUGGCUCAGGACCCAGAGCUUUGAAGCAUGUCCAGAUGCAGGUCCGGGCACCAGAGUCUAAGGAGCCCCCACACCCACCAGGAUUUUCCAAUAAAGAGAUGUUCACCAAUGAGUUUAGCUCUCUGGUUUUCCUGAGGAAGGGCUGGGAACAUGAGGUCCCCAGAACAGGGGCCACUGUUGGGGAUACUGUCUUAGGCAUGGCAGGACUCAGACAGGGGUGGGGAGGGGUGGAAAGAAGUGCGUUUUUCCUCCAAACCUGUGGCUGCCUUGGGUAGGCUGGGCUCAGAGCACUCCUGCCUUUGCCCCUUAAUGUUUGAGAAGCCCAGCAGCCCCCUAGGGCGGAGGUUGAGCCUCUUGAGGAUGA